AUGGGGAUGCAGGCUCUGAUGGAUGAUCGCUGCAAGAACCUAGUGAACCCUGUAUGUGACUGGCUCGGUGAGAUUUAUGAUCCUGCCUCCAGAGAAUUUUUGAUUCCGCGACAGGGAAGACUGCCUUUGGAUGAGGAUUCGGUGUUCUGCACUUUGGUUGUGCCCCGUGGAGAAAUCAAAGUCAUGUAUGAGGUGAAUAAUAAGAUUGAGGCAGCCUUGUUCCCCCGUUUGUUUCCUGGGAUGUCAACCAUGCCGAAUACGACUGCGCUGGCAACUUCGCUAGAGGGCAUGACAACCCAUGGCGAGGUAUUUAAGAUGAAGCUACUCAUGUACUUGAUCUCAGCUGUCUUUGCGCCUACCACGUCUCUUCGCCCAAGCAACAAGUGCUUCCCCAUUCUGGUGCGAACCUGA
rnacentral:rRNA from 1 species